rnacentral:rRNA from 1 species
UACGGAGGGUGCAAGCGUUAUCCGGAUUCACUGGGUUUAAAGGGUGCGUAGGAGGGUAGGUAAGUCAGUGGUGAAAUCUCCGGGCUCAACUCGGAAACUGCCGUUGAUACUAUCUGUCUUGAAUGCCGUGGAGGUGGGCGGAAUAUGUCAUGUAGCGGUGAAAUGCUUAGAUAUGACAUAGAACACCAAUUGCGAAGGCAGCUCACUACACGAACAUUGACUCUGAGGCACGAAAGCGUGGGGAUCAAACAGG